UGGGGAAUUUUGGACAAUGGGGGCAACCCUGAUCCAGCCAUGCCGCGUGAGUGAAGAAGGCCUUCGGGUUGUAAAGCUCUUUCGGCCGGGAAGAAAUCGCACAGGCCAAUACCCUGUGUGGAUGACGGUACCGGAAUAAGAAGCACCGGCUAACUACGUGCCAGCAGCCGCGGUAAUACGUAGGGUGCGAGCGUUAAUCGGAAUUACUGGGCGUAAAGCGUGCGCAGGCGGUUUUGUAAGACAGGCGUGAAAUCCCCGGGCUCAACCUGGGAACUGCGCU
rnacentral:rRNA from 1 species